rnacentral:rRNA from 1 species
UAAGGAAUAUUGGUCAAUGCCCGGAAGGGUGAACCAGCCAUCCCGCGUGAAGGAUGAAGGGGCUCUGCCUUGUAAACUUCUUUUGAAUGGGACGAAAAAGCCUCACUUGUGAGGAACUGACGGUACCAUUAGAAUAAGCACCGGCUAACUCCGUGCCAGCAGCCGCGGUAAUACGGAGGGUGCGAGCGUUAUCCGGAAUCACUGGGUUUAAAGGGUGCGUAGGCGGCUGUAUAAGUCAGUGGUGAAAGGCUGUGGCUUAACCAUGGGAUUGCCAUUGAUACUGUACGGCUUGAAUUAGGAUGAGGUUGGCGGAAUGUGACAUGUAGCGGUGAAAUGCUUAGAUAUGUCAUGGAACAUCGAUUGCGAAGGCAGCUGACUGGACCUUAAUUGACGCUGAGGCACGAAAGCGUGGGGAGCGAACAGGAUUAGAUACCCAAGUAGUCCCUGAGCGGGCUGGCAAGGCGCAU